UUGGGCCUACGGGGGGCAGCAGUGGGGAAUAUUGCACAAUGGGGGGAACCCUGAUGCAGCGACGCCGCGUGAGUGAAGAAGUAUUUCGGUAUGUAAAGCUCUAUCAGCAGGGAAGAAAAUGACGGUACCUGACUAAGAAGCCCCGGCUAACUACGUGCCAGCAGCCGCGGUAAUACGUAGGGGGCAAGCGUUAUCCGGAUUUACUGGGUGUAAAGGGAGCGUAGACGGCAGAGCAAGUCUGAAGUGAAAGCCCGGGGCUCAACCGCGUGACUGCUUUUGAAACUGUAUAGCUAGAGUGCAGGAGA
rnacentral:rRNA from 1 species